rnacentral:rRNA from 1 species
AAGAAGGUCUUCGGAUUGUAAAGCACUUUCGUUGGGGACGAUGAUGACGGUACCCAAAGAAGAAGCCCCGGCUAACUUCGUGCCAGCAGCCGCGGUAAUACGAAGGGGGCUAGCGUUGCUCGGAAUGACUGGGCGUAAAGGGCGCGUAGGCGGUUUGAACAGUCAGACGUGAAAUUCCUGGGCUUAACCUGGGGGCUGCGUUUGAGACGUUUGGGCUAGAGUGAGGAAGAGGGUCGUGGAAUUCCCACUGUAGAGGUGAAAUUCGUAGAUAUUGGGAAGAACACCGGUGGCGAAGGCGGNGACCUGGUCCUUUACUGACGCUGAGGCGCGAAAGCGUGGGGAGCAAACAUGAUUAGAUACCCUGGUAGUCCACGCUGUAAACGAUGUGUGCUGGAUGUUGGGUUACUUACUAACUCAAUGUCGUAGCUAACGCGAUAAAGCACACCGCCUGGGGAGUCCGGCCGCAAGGUUGAAACUCAAAGGAAUUGACGGGGGCCCGCACAAGCGGUGGAGCAUGUGGUUUAAUUCGAAGCAACGCGCAGAACCUUACCAGGGCUUGACAUGGGGAGGCUAGGCACAGAGA